rnacentral:rRNA from 1 species
AUACGGAGGGGGCUAGCGUUGUUCGGAAUUACUGGGCGUAAAGCGCACGUAGGCGGUAUAUCAAGUUAGGCGUGAAAGCCCUGGGCUCAACCCGGGAACUGCGCUUAUUACUGAUGAACUAGAGUCCGGGAGAGGGUAGCGGAAUUCCCAGUGUAGAGGUGAAAUUCGUAGAUAUUGGGAAGAACACCAGUUGCGAAGGCGGCUACCUGGACCGGUACUGACGCUGAGGUGCGAAAGCGUGGGGAGCAAACAGGAUUAGAAACCCCAGUAGUCC